UUGCGCAAUGGGGGCAACCCUGACGCAGCAAUGCCACGUGAGUGAGGAAGGCUCUAGGGUCGUAAAGCUCUGUCCUAUAGGAAGAACGGCUUUAGGUAACGCUAAAGUUUGACGGUACUAUAGAAGAAAGCACCGGCUAACUCCGUGCCAGCAGCCGCGGUAAUACGGAGGGUGCAAGCGUUGUUCGGAAUUACUGGGCGUAAAGCGCGUGUAGGCGGACAUGCAGGUCAGAUGUGAAAUCCCCCGGCUCAACCGGGGAACUGCUUCUGAAACCGUAUGCCUUGAGUAUGUCAGAGGAGAGUGGAAUUCCCAGUGUAGAGGUGAAAUUCAUAGAUAUUGGGAAGAACACCGGUGGCGAAGGCGGCUCUCUGGGACAAUACUGACGCUGAGACGCGAAAGCGUGGGUAGCAAACAGGAUUAGAUACCCUGGUAGUCCACGCCGUAAACGAUGUGCACCAGGUGUUGGGGGUAAUUAAACCUUCAGUGCCGCAGCUAACGCAUUAAGUGCACCGCCUGGGGAUUACGGCCGCAAGGCUAAAACUCAAAGGAAUUGACGGGGGCCCGCACAAGCGGUGGAGUUGUGGUUUAAUUCGACGCAACGCGCAAAACCUUACCUGGGUUUGACAU
rnacentral:rRNA from 1 species